rnacentral:rRNA from 1 species
CCUUUGACGUUAGCGGCGGACGGGUGAGUAACACGUGGGUAACCUACCUAUAAGACUGGGAUAACUUCGGGAAACCGGAGCUAAUACCGGAUAAUAUUUCGAACCGCAUGGUUCGAUAGUGAAAGAUGGUUUUGCUAUCACUUAUAGAUGGACCCGCGCCGUAUUAGCUAGUUGGUAAGGUAACGGCUUACCAAGGCGACGAUACGUAGCCCGACCUGAGAGGGUGAUCGGCCACACUGGAACUGAGACACGGGUCCAGACUCCUACGGGAGGCAGCAGCC